UCUUCAUUGGUCUAGUGGUCAUGAUUUCCGCUUGUCAAGAACGUCGUUCAACAAGCGCGGGAGACCUGGGUUCGAUUCCCAGAUGGAGAG